CCUACGGGAGGCAGCAGUGAGGAAUAUUGGUCAAUGGGCGCGAGCCUGAACCAGCAAAGUAGCGUGAAGGAUGACUGCCCUACGGGUUGUAAACUUCUUUUAUAAAGGAAUAAAGUGCGGCACGUGUGCCUUUUUGUAUGUACUUUAUGAAUAAGGAUCGGCUAACUCCGUGCCAGCAGCCGCGGUAAUACGGAGGAUCCGAGCGUUAUCCGGAUUUAGUGGGUUUAAAGGGAGCGUAGAUGGGUUGUUAAGUCAGUUGUGAAAGUUUGCGGCUUAACCGUAAAAUUGCAAUUGAUACUGGCAGUCUUGAGUACAGUAGAGGUAGGUGGAAUUCGUGGUGUAGCGGUGAAAUGCUUAGAGAUCACGAAGAACUCCGAUUGCGAAGGCAGCUUACUAAACUGCCACUGACAUUGAUGCGCGAAAGUGUGGGUAUCAAACAGGAUUAGAUACCCGAGUAGUC
rnacentral:rRNA from 1 species